GAUCAAACUCAGGAUGCAUACAAGCACUCUACCACUGAGAUACACCCCCUCGCCUGACCCAGAUGCCUUACUCAGGUCACCAGAUACCAAAAGAAGACACAGCUAAAAAUGGAACAAUCAACUAAAUGAUAAGCUCUGUAAGGACAGAGGGACCAAACUUACCUAGCUGAGCUACAGGACUGAGCUAUAUUCAUGUUAAAGUUAUGUACCAGAAAAGUUCAAAAAGCCAUGAAAGAAUUUCUUGUUUUAGUGAAGGUAACACAGUGUUAUAACUCAUGAACCCUGACAUUCCACACAAUGGAGGCUUCUUUCUCCCGCCCAGAGCAGUUCAUUGCUAAAGUUCUUCCUCCCUCAGGUGACUCAGGCUCUGGCAAUUCCUCCAUCACUGGGCUCUGCCAUCUCCUAAGACCUGGUUAUCCUUUGCUGCCACUCAGUAAAGAGUCUGCUUGGAGAAGGCACCCACAUUUCUUUAGCCCUGCCUGAAAGAAGGAUGCAAUUACUUCCACUCAGUGUAUUUCUGUACUUCAAGCUGAGCUGUGGAUCAGAGGUAGCCUGUGUGAUUGGCAUGCAUUGAGGUCCUGGGUUCAAUUCCCAGAAUCAAAUUUACUAAUAAGUAAAUGAACAGCACUAAAAAUGCAUCGCAUAAAAUAAUAUGAAUAAUAGGGGCACAGAAGAUGUGUAAUUACUUAUUGUACCGGAGGCAGUGAUCAGAAAAAUCCCUUAAGGAUGGAUGGAGCUGGGCACAGGGGGCAGAAGGGAGGAGUGCCAGACAAUGGAAACCCAUCACACCCCUCAUUAAGGGGCAGGCGCAGACAGGGGCAAGGCGACCCA